UACGUAGGGGGCAAGCGUUGUCCGGAUUCAUUGGGCGUAAAGAGCGUGUAGGCGGCCAGGUAGGUCUGCUGUGAAAACUCGAGGCUUAACCUCGAGAUGUCGGUGGAAACCAUCUGGCUAGAGUCCGGAAGAGGAGAGUGGAAUUCCUGGUGUAGCGGUGAAAUGCGCAGAUAUCAGGAAGAACACCCGUGGCGAAGGCGGCUCUCUGGGACGGUACUGACGCUGAGACGCGAAAGCGUGGGGAGCGAACAGG
rnacentral:rRNA from 1 species